GUCGAGGGGCAGCAUAAAUUACUUGUAAUUUGAUGGCGACCGGCGAACGGGUGCGUAACGCGUAUGCAACUUACCUUUUACUAGAGAAUAGCCAAGAGAAAUUUUGAUUAAUGCUCUAUACACUUUAAGACUCUCAUGAGUCUAAAAGAAAAGCUCCGGCGGUAAAAGAUGGGCAUGCGUUCUAUUAGCUUGUAGGUGAGGUAACGGCUCACCUAAGCUCCGAUAGAUAGGGGUCCUGAGAGGGAGACCCCCCACACUGGUACUGAGACACGGACCAGACUUCUACGGAAGGCAGCAGUAAGGAAUAUUGGACAAUGGAGGCAACUCUGAUCCAGCCAUGCCGCGUGAAGGAAGAAGGCCCUAUGGGUCGUAAACUUCUUUUAUGCAGGAAGAAAUCUUUCCACGUGUGGAAAGUUGACGGUACUGUAAGAAUAAGGAUCGGCUAACUCCGUGCCAGCAGCCGCGGUAAUACGGAGGAUCCAAGCGUUAUCCGGAAUUAUUGGGUUUAAAGGGUCCGCAGGCUGUUUGUUAAGUUAGAGGUGAAAUCCUACCGCUCAACGGUAGAACUGCCUUUAAUACUGGCAAACUUGAGUUAUUGUGAAGUAAUUAGAAUGUGUAGUGUAGCGGUGAAAUGCAUAGAUAUUACACAGAAUACCGAUUGCGAAGGCAGAUUACUAACAAUUAACUGACGCUGAGGGACGAA
rnacentral:rRNA from 1 species